UCAACGACCGUACCGCAAACCGACACUGGUGCGCGAGAUGAGUAUUCUAAGGCGCUUGAGAGAACUCAGGAGAAGGAACUCGGCAAAUUGACACCGUAACUUCGGAAGAAGGUGUGCCCUAUUAGUGUGAAGUGAACAACGGAGCAUGAAUGGGUUGCAAAAAAUCGGUGGCUGCGACUGUUUAUUAAAAACACAGCACUCUGCGAACACGAAAGUGGACGUAUAGGGUGUGACGCCUGCCCGGUGCUGGAAGAUUAAAUGAUGGGGUGCAAGCUCUUGAUUGAAGUCCCAGUAAACGGCGGCCGUAACUAUAACGGUCCUAAGGUAGCGAAAUUCCUUGUCGGGUAAGUUCCGACCUGCACGAAUGGCGUAACGAUGGCCACACUGUCUCCUCCUGAGACUCAGCGAAGUUGAAAUGUUUGUGAUGAUGCAAUCUCCCCGCGGAAAGACGGAAAGACCCCAUGAACCUUUACUGUAGCUUUGUAUUGGACUUUGAACAGAUCUGUGUAGGAUAGGUGGGAGGCUUUGAAGCAGGGUCGCUAGAUCUUGUGGAGCCAACGUUGAAAUACCACCCUGGUGUGUUUGAGGUUCUAACCUAGGUCCAUUAUCUGGAUCGGGGACAGUGCAUGGUAGGCAGUUUGACUGGGGCGGUCUCCUCCCAAAGCGUAACGGAGGAGUUCGAAGGUACGCUAGUUACGGUCGGACAUCGUGACGAUAGUGCAAUGGCAUAAGCGUGCUUAACUGCGAGACUGACAAGUCGAGCAGAUGCGAAAGCAGGACAUAGUGAUCCGGUGGUUCUGUAUGGAAGGGCCAUCGCUCAACGGAUAAAAGGUACUCUGGGGAUAACAGCUGAUACCGCCCAAGAGUUCAUAUCGACGGCGGUGUUUGGCACCUCGAUGUCGGCUCAUCUCAUCCUGGGGCUGUAGCCGGUCCCAAGGGUAUGGCUGUUCGCCAUUUAAAGAGGUACGUGAGCUGGGUUUAAAACGUCGUGAGACAGUUUGGUCCCUAUCUUCCGUGGGCGCUGCAGAUUUGAGGAAGCCUGCUCCUAGUACGAGAGGACCGGAGUGGACACACCUCUGGUGUAUCGGUUGUCACGCCAGUGGCAUUGCCGACUAGCUAAGUGUGGAAGAGAUAACCGCUGAAAGCAUCUAAGCGGGAAACUCGUUUCAAGAUGAGAUCUGCCGGGGCCUUGAGCCCCCUGAAGAGUCGUUCAAGACCAGGACGUUGAUAGGUCAGGUGUGGAAGCGCAGUAAUGCGUUAAGCUAACUGAUACUAAUUGCUCGUGCGGCUUGACCC
rnacentral:rRNA from 1 species